rnacentral:rRNA from 1 species
AGAGAAGCUUGCUUCUUGGGUGGCGAGUGGCGAACGGGUGAGUAAUAUAUCGGAACGUACCGAGUAAUGGGGGAUAACUAAUCGAAAGAUUAGCUAAUACCGCAUAUUCUCUGAGGAGGAAAGCAGGGGACCUUCGGGCCUUGCGUUAUUCGAGCGGCCGAUAUCUGAUUAGCUAGUUGGUGGGGUAAAGGCCUACCAAGGCGACGAUCAGUAGCGGGUCUGAGAGGAUGAUCCGCCACACUGGGACUGAGACACGGCCCAGACUCCUACGGGAGGCAGCAGUGGGGAAUUUUGGACAAUGGGCGCAAGCCUGAUCCAGCCAUGCCGCGUGUCUGAAGAAGGCCUUCGGGUUGUAAAGGACUUUUGUCAGGGAAGAAAAGGCUGUUGCUAAUAUCGACAGCUGAUGACGGUACCUGAAGAAUAAGCACCGGCUAACUACGUGCCAGCAGCCGCGGUAAU